CGGACCUGCUCUGAGGCUCCCAGUGGCAGCGGUGACCGCGGGCGGGUGGGGCGCCGGGUGAAGAAACCAAGACGCAGAGAGGCCAAGCCCCUUGCCUUGGGUCACACAGCCAAAGGAGGCAGAGCCAGAACUCACAACCAGAUCCAGAGGCAACAGGGACAUGGCCACCUGGGACGAAAAGGUAAUGGAUUCUGUGGUCUUGCAGCAUUAGAGGAUAUCCCAGCCUUGAGAGGAUAAUUCUGUUUGGUGU
rnacentral:lncRNA from 1 species